AUUGAACGCUGGCGGCAGGCCUAACACAUGCAAGUCGAACGAGUGGCGGACGUGUGAGUAAUGUCUGGGAAACUGCCUGAUGGCGGGGGAUACCUACUGGAAACGGUAGCUAAUCCCGCUUACCAUCAGAUGUUCCCAGAUGGGAUUAGCUUGUUGGUGGGGUAAAGGCUCACCAAGGCGACGAUCCCUAGCUGGUCUGAGAGGAUGACCAGCCAAACUUGAACGGAGACACGGUCCAGAAUCCUACGGGAGGCAGCAGUUGGGAAUAUGGCACAAUGGGCGGAAGCCUGAUGCAGCCAUGCCGCGGGUAUGAAGAAGGCCUUCGGGUUGUAAAGUACUUUCAGCGGGGAGGAGUUACCCGCAGAAGAAGCACAGGCUAACUCCGUGCCAGCAGCCGCGGUAAUUC
rnacentral:rRNA from 1 species